rnacentral:rRNA from 1 species
GGCAGCAGUGGGGAAUUUUGGACAAUGGGCGAAAGCCUGAUCCAGCAAUGCCGCGUGUGUGAAGAAGGCCUUCGGGUUGUAAAGCACUUUUGUCCGGAAAGAAAUCCUUGGCUCUAAUACAGUCGGGGGAUGACGGUACCGGAAGAAUAAGCACCGGCUAACUACGUGCCAGCAGCCGCGGUAAUACGUAGGGUGCGAGCGUUAAUCGGAAUUACUGGGCGUAAAGCGUGCGCAGGCGGUUUGCUAAGACCGAUGUGAAAUCCCCGGGCUCAACCUGGGAACUGCAUUGGUGACUGGCAGGCUAGAGUAUGGCAGAGGGGGGUAGAAUUCCACGUGUAGCAGUGAAAUGCGUAGAGAUGUGGAGGAAUACCGAUGGCGAAGGCAGCCCCCUGGGCCAAUACUGACGCUCAUGCACGAAAGCGUGGGGAGCAAACAGGAUUAGAUACCCUGGUAGUCCACGCCCUAAACGAUGUCAACUAGUUGUUGGGGAUUCAUUUCCUUAGUAACGUAGCUAACGCGUGAAGUG